rnacentral:rRNA from 1 species
CCCGCCGAUUCCUUUAAGUUUCAUGCUUGCGGCUGUAAUUCGGGAGCGUCUAGUGAUACUCAUUUCGUGUGUCUGUCCUCCCGUCUAAAAAACGGGAGUAACCUAGGGACGGUCAAUAACGGUGUCCAACUACCCCGGUAAUACAGGCGGUUCGAGUGCUGGCCUAUAUUAUUGAGUCUAAAGGGUCCGUUAGUGCGUGAUUAUGCCUUCUCUUUGGGAAGAUCCCUCGGCUUAUCCGUUGAGUCUUCCCGUACAUACUAAAUUGCUCGGAACUGUGAGAGGUACGAGGUACUCAGGAUGUACGAAUGAAAUCAUGUAAUCCUUUGGGGAUCUCCGGUGACAAUUGCCUCGUAGCAUACCAAGCCUUACGACCAGGUACUAACGCUAACGACUCGAGCCGCAUGAGAUACCCCGGUAGUCGUAACCGUAAUUGAUGUGCCCUAGGUGUCACAUGCUUUUUAAAUUGCUGUACUGCCAUAAGUAAAUCCUGAAACUAGACGUUUGCUAAUUACUAUUGCCAGGUUUAAACUUAUUUGACUUGUGGUGCGACCAC